GCCAGGUGUGGUGGUGCAUGCCUGUAGUCCCAGCUACUCAGGAAGCUGAGGCAGGAGGAUGGCUUGAGCCCAGGAGUUCGAGGCUGCAGUGAGCUAUGAUCACACACACCACUGCACUCCAGCCUGGGCAACAGAGUGAGACCCUGCUUCAA
rnacentral:SRP_RNA from 2 species